AGUGAACGCUGGCGGUAGGCCUAACACAUGCAAGUCGAACGGCAGCACAGUAAGAGCUUGCUCUUACGGGUGGCGAGUGGCGGACGGGUGAGGAAUACAUCGGAAUCUACUUUUUCGUGGGGUAUAACGUAGGGAAACUUACUCUAAUACCGCAUACGACCUACGGGUGAAAGCAGGGGAUCUUCGGACCUUGCGCGAUUGAAUGAGCCGAUGUCGGAUUAGCUAGUUGGCGGGGUAAAGGCCCACCAAGGCGACGAUCCGUAGCUGGUCUGAGAGGAUGAUCAGCCACACUGGAACUGAGACACGGUCCAGACUCCUACGGGAGGCAGCAGUGGGGAAUAUUGGACAAUGGGCGCAAGCCUGAUCCAGCCAUACCGCGUGGGUGAAGAAGGCCUUCGGGUUGUAAAGCACUUUUGUUGGGAAAGAAAAGAAGAAGGUUAAUACCCCGCUGUUCUGACGGUACCCAAAGAAUAAGCACCGGCUAACUUCGUG
rnacentral:rRNA from 1 species